rnacentral:tRNA from 1 species
AAGACCUUAAGUUAAUAUAAACUAAAGGCUUUCCAAGCCUAAAAUAGGCACACCUAGGUCUUA